ACUCCUACGGGAGGCAGCAGUGGGGAAUAUUGCACAAUGGGCGCAAGCCUGAUGCAGCCAUGCCGCGUGUGUGAAGAAGGCCUUCGGGUUGUAAAGCACUUUCAGUCGUGAGGAAGGUAGUGUAGUUAAUAGCUGCAUUAUUUGACGUUAGCGACAGAAGAAGCACCGGCUAACUCCGUGCCAGCAGCCGCGGUAAUACGGAGGGUGCGAGCGUUAAUCGGAAUUACUGGGCGUAAAGCGCAUGCAGGUGGUUGUUAAGUCAGAUGUGAAAGCCCGGGGCUCAACCUCGGAAUAGCAUUUGAAACUGGCAGACUAGAGUACUGUAGAGGGGGUAGAAUUUCAGGUGUAGCGGUGAAAUGCGUAGAGAUCUGAAGGAUACCGGUGGCGAAGGCGGCCCCUGGACAGAUACUGACACUCAGAUGCGAAAGCGUGGGAGCAAACGAGGAUUAGAUACCCCUGGUAGACUGUCA
rnacentral:rRNA from 1 species